rnacentral:rRNA from 1 species
UACUCCUACCGGAGGCAGCAGUAGGGAAUCUUCCGCAAUGGACGAAAGUCUGACGGAGCAACGCCGCGUGAGUGAUGAAGGUUUUCGGAUCGUAAAGCUCUGUUGUUAGGGAAGAACAAGUGCAAGAGUAACUGCUUGCACCUUGACGGUACCUAACCAGAAAGCCACGGCUAACUACGUGCCAGCAGCCGCGGUAAUACGUAGGUGGCAAGCGUUGUCCGGAAUUAUUGGGCGUAAAGGGCUCGCAGGCGGUUUCUUAAGUCUGAUGUGAAAGCCCCCGGCUCAACCGGGGAGGGUCAUUGGAAACUGGGAAACUUGAGUGCAGAAGAGGAGAGUGGAAUUCCACGUGUAGCGGUGAAAUGCGUAGAGAUGUGGAGGAACACCAGUGGCGAAGGCGACUCUCUGGUCUGUAACUGACGCUGAGGAGCGAAAGCGUGGGGAGCGAACAGGAUAGAUACCUGGGUAGUCCA